GAUGAACGCUGGCGGCGUGCCUAAUACAUGCAAGUCGAACGACCAGAUGAGGAGCUUGUUCUCCUGCGGUUAGCGGGGGACGGGUGAGUAACGCGUGGAUAGCCUUCUUAUAUGACUGGGAUAAUUUCGGGAAAACACUGCUACUACUAGCUCAUAUAUUCUACCGCAUGGAUCAAUAGUGCAUCGCGCCUUUCCCGUUUGUUUUAGCUGGUUUCGCGUUCGAUUAGUUGGUUGGUAAGGUCACAGCUAACCAAGGCAACGUAGCGUAGCCGACCUGAAGGGGUGAACAGCCAAACUGGAACUGAGACACGGUCCAGACUCCUACGGGGGGCAGCAGUAGGGAAUCUUCCGCAAUGGGCGAAAACCUUACGGAGCAACGCCGCGGGAGGUAUGAAAGUCUUCGGAGCGGAAAACUCUGUUAGUAGGGAAAAACAAAUAGGUGGGUAACUAUGCACUGCUUGACGGUACCUAAACAGAAAGCCACGGCUAACUACGGG
rnacentral:rRNA from 1 species